GAUGAACGCUAGCUACAGGCUUAACACAUGCAAGUCGAGGGGAAACGACAUCGAAAGCUUGCUUUUGAUGGGCGUCGACCGGCGCACGGGUGAGUAACGCGUAUCCAACCUGCCCAUCACUUGGGGAUAACCUUGCGAAAGUAAGACUAAUACCCAAUGAUAUCUCUAGAAGACAUCUGAAAGAGAUUAAAGAUUUAUCGGUGAUGGAUGGGGAUGCGUCUGAUUAGCUUGUUGGCGGGGUAACGGCCCACCAAGGCAACGAUCAGUAGGGGUUCUGAGAGGAAGGUCCCCCACAUUGGAACUGAGACACGGUCCAAACUCCUACGGGAGGCAGCAGUGAGGAAUAUUGGUCAAUGGGCGAGAGCCUGAACCAGCCAAGUAGCGUGCAGGAAGACGGCCCUAUGGGUUGUAAACUGCUUUUAUAAGGGAAUAAAGUGAGAGUCGGGACUCCUUUUGUAUGUACCUUAUGAAUAAGGACCGGCUAAUUCCGUG
rnacentral:rRNA from 1 species